rnacentral:rRNA from 1 species
GACGAACGCUGGCGGCGUGCCUAAUACAUGCGAGUCGAACGAGAGCGACCGGUGCUUGCACUGGUCAAUCUAGUGGCGAACGGGUGAGUAACACGUGGGUAACCUGCCCAUCAGAGGGGGAUAACAUCCGGAAACGGAUGCUAAAACCGCAUAGGUCUUCGAACCGCAUGGUUUGAAGAGGAAAAGAGGCGCAAGCUUCUGCUGAUGGAUGGACCCGCGGUGCAUUAGCUAGUUGGUGAGGUAACGACUCACCAAGGCCGUGAUGCAUAGCCGACCUGAGAGGGUGAUCGGCCACAUUGGGACUGAGACACGGCCCAAACUCCUACGGGAGGCAGCAGUAGGGAAUCUUCCGCAAUGGACGCAAGUCUGACGGAGCAACGCCGCGUGAGUGAAGAAGGUUUUCGGAUCGUAAAACUCUGUUGUUAGAGAAGAACAAGUGCUAGAGUAACUGUUAGCGCCUUGACGGUAUCUAACCAGAAAGCCACGGCUAACUACGUG